GGGCCGAUAGGUAAACGGCAUACCGCCGUCUUCGCAUGACGGAGUUCCGGGUUCAAUUCCCGAUCGGUCCA
rnacentral:tRNA from 1 species